rnacentral:lncRNA from 1 species
GAUUGAUCAUAAAAUGAAAUGGUGAUUUUCAUUCAGAAUAGAGGGAUGAUACGAUUCGCUUGAGGUGUUUUGUGUGAUCCAUGUGUUUGGUGUGAUUCCAUAAAGAUCCGAUAUAUAAAGAUCGAUGUCAUUCCCUUCAUCCCGGUUUAAUACUGCCUUAAAUAAAACGAUAAAUCGAAGAUGAAAAUCAUUCCUAACACAGUAAAAAAGUAAUAAAAUAAUGCGUCAAAAAGAGAAAAAAAACUUGAAAAAAGAAAUUGAAUUUAAACAUCAGCUGAUGGAAAACGAAGCAAACGAAGGUUACCAAGGAAACCAAGGAAUGGAACUUUAAUAAAAACAGUUAAGUGGAAAACAGCGUAAGUAGGGCACUCACGUUAAUUACCGUUUAUAAGUAAACGGUAAAUGCGAUUUAACCGAAAAUCUAUACAGUUCUUCAUGAGACCAAAAUGGACAAAAUUGCAAAAUUUGAAUCAGCUGACGUAAAUCUAACGAUAGUUAUCGUGAACGAAAGAAUUGCUGACGUACGUCGGGUAACUAUUAUAGGUGGGAUUAGUUGAUGAUUUGAAACGAUAACACCCGAAAGUCAGAUUACUCCCUCUGUUUUAGAGGUUAACUAUACUCGUUAUUUGUGACUCUUUUUUAAAAUAAGUCAAACCAUUAUUCGUGUUAUUUAACUUAAGAUUUUAUUUUUUGUAGUUUUACAACCAAAAAAAAAUUCAUCAUUGUCAAGAUUUAAAAGCAAUAAAUUAAACUUAAAAUUAUUUGUAAUUUCGAAGAGGUUAGAAGAAAUGGUUUUCAUUUGCCUAAAAGGUGCAGGUGCAGCCGCAGCUUUUCUCGAGCAAAUCUUGGCACAUGGCAACAAUACAAUUUUUAAUAUUAACAAUUUAUGUCGUUACUGGUACCUCACUCGAAAAAGACCGCAAAAUUUCUACAUACAAUUCAAAAUUGAUCGGCCGAAGAGCGUAAUCGGUAGGAUAUUCGGAGACGACAACUACGCAAAGCCCGAAUGGCGCCUAUAUUCUUGCUAUCAGGAUGACGACGUUGAAGAUGAAGAUCCCUCUAGUUUUUCCCUUAGUGGCAUCCACUGCAAGCGAUUUCGACUACAGUUUCCUCGCAUUCUGUGGCGAAGCUGGAAGUUCUACAAAAACGUGAGCUUUUUCCAAACGCAUCGGAGUAGCUUAGGCGAGGAUUUAACGUUCCCAGACACAGCCCCGGAGCGUGUGCCCCCGGAGCUGUGGCUAGGCGUCGUGCAUACCGACGACUGUCCACGAACCCCAUCGAAGCCCAGCGCCGAAAUGGAGGAACUCGUCAAGAAUCAGAGCGAUGCCUGGAUCACCACCGUGACCAUUCAAGCCACUCAGCAGAACCUUCGCGCCUACUUGGCCGCCCCAGCUGGCCUGGCCUGGCGCACUCAUGAAGACCUGAAAACUGCCUAUCUGAAGGCCUACGUCGCCUACCUCACCAGAGUCAUCAAGGACUACGAUAAGUACCUGUUCCACAGAGUUCAGUUCAAAGCGGCGCGAAGUAAUAGAUCGUACGACGCUCCAAUCGACUGGAGGGGGCCAGCCUGGUUGGACUGGAGAGGAUUCAAACUAGCCAGGUAUCUGUACAACAACUACAGAGGAGGUUUCGACCAGAUGCACAGAAUGUGGCUAUGGAACCCAUGGAUGGAGUCCCGGUUGCGAAAGAUGAUCCCAGUGCUGGCGGGGAGGAUGAUAGACCCUUGUCUCCUGGGUCCGACCGAUGACAUCGGCGAAGGCUCUAAAGCCCGCGGGAACUUCAUCUGGGACUCGAACAACAGUCUGUGCGCCAUCUACUGCCGCUUCCAGCAAGCCAUCAACUUCCUUUACCCGAAGUCCCACUCCCUCAUCUGCUGCACCGUCGGAGUCAAGUACAACCAGGGUCGCUGCCAAGGGGACCGGUGCCUUUGCUUCAUGAGGAGCAAAAUAUCGCCGUACAAUGAGGUCGGCUACCCCAUCCCUCUCCGAUACUGUAUAAAUAGCUUCAACUUGAAACGAUACAACGAAACUCAUCCUAUGGAGUAA